ensembl:lncRNA
AUGGGCCCAGUAAAGAGUUUGGGAACCGAUGGAAUCGUUUAUGUUUCGACGGAGAGGAAAAGAAUUAUGAACUGUGGGAAAGCAAAGUUCCUGGCACAUUUGCAUCUUCUGGGUUUGAAAUCCAUCAUAUUGGGUGAAGCCUCGGCCGUGGAUGAUGAGGGUGCAGAGGAGGAAGACGACAGUAAAAAUGAAGAGGCAUAUGCAGUUCUGAUCCAAUUAUUAGAUGACAAGAGUAUGUCGCUUGUGAUGAGAGAGGCUGCGGAUGAUGGCAGAAAGGCAUUACAGAUUUUGAGAAAUCACUACGCUGGUAAGGGGAAGCCACGUGUGAUAAGUUUGUAUACGGAGUUGACAUCUCUUCAGAAAGGUGUAAAUGAAACCGUUACAGAUUACAUUAUUCGUGCAGAGACUGCAAUUACAGCAUUGCGGAAUGCGGGAGAGACUUUGAGCGAUGAUUUAUUGACUGCCAUGAUUCUAAAGGGUUUGCCCGAUACUUUCAAACCAUUCUCUAUUUUUAUUACACAGAGUGAUGAAAAACUAACAUUUGCUGACUUUAAAGCAAAACUGAGAAGCUAUGAAAGCACAGAGAAGUUAGGCUUUGCUAGUUCGGGAGAGGACAGCAUAAUGAAAAUUAAAGGAAGGGACAAUUGGUGUAUGAGACUCACCUGUUACAAUUGCGGCCAGAAGGGUCACAAAGCCGCGGAGUGCACGGUGGUUGCUGGGGAGCGCGGGGAACGGAGACAAUGGUGUAGUUUCUGUAAAAGCACCUCACAUAAAGACGUGCACUGUCGUCGAAGAAAGCGGGAUAAAGUGAAGCAAACUGUGGACGAAGAGGAGGAUCACACAUUUGCGUUUAUGGUGGAGCAGGUGAAUAAAGUCCCGGUUGGUGGAGUGGAAAUGAAAGGUCUCAUGGUGGAUUCUGGAGCUACUAAACAUAUCGUUACAGACAUUGAGAAGUUCGUGGAUUUCGAUUUAAGUUUCAAGCCACAGAGCCACAUUCUGGAGCUGGCUGAUGGAGAACGGGCCAGUGGAAUCGCGUUGAAGAAGGGUACCGCUAAAUUGCGUUUGAGAAAUAGCAAUGGUCGCAUAGUGGACAUGAUGUUGACGGAGGCACUUUAUGUGCCAUCAUUUUCUCAAGACAUCUUUUCUGUGAAAGCGGCAAUUUCACACGGAGCAACAGUAAUCUUCAAAGAGGGACAGAACCGACUCAUUCACAAAAAUGGUACAACUUUUGAUAUUCAUAUGUAUGAUAGACUGUUUUAUUUGAGUACUGUUGCUAAUGAGAUUGAUGAGUGUAACGCGUGCUAUGAUAUUCAGACAUGGCAUGAAAUACUGGGUCAUUGUAAUUAUGAUGAUGUGUUAAAGUUGGAGAAUGUUACAGAAGGGAUGAAAAUUAGAGGUAAAAUUGACAGAUCCAAUUUGAAAUGUGAAGUGUGUGUAAAAGGCAAAUUUGCUCAGCACAGAAAUAGAGAUCUAGAUGAGAAAGCAAAAGAUGUAUUUGCACUUGUUCAUGCAGAUCUGGCUGGUCCUAUAGAACCAGCAGGAAAAGAUGGUUUCAGAUUUGCCUUAGCAUUCACAGAUGACUAUUCAGGAGCUGUGUUUACCUAUUUUUUGAAGAACAAAAGUGACACUGCCGUAGCCACUGAGAAAUUCAUUGCUGAUGUUGCACCAUAUGGUAAGAUUACAUGUAUAAGAUCAGAUAAUGGAACAGAAUUUACAUCUUCCGUAUUUCAGUCAUUGCUCAGCAAGAAUGCUAUUAGACAUGAAACCUCAGCUCCUUAUUCACCCCAUCAAAAUGGGACAGCUGAAAGAGCUUGGAGGACUUUGUUUGAAAUGGCAAGAUGUAUGCUAAUUGAGAGUAAAUUACCAAAGGAGUUGUGGACAUAUGCGGUACAAACCGCUGCUAUAAUUAGAAACAGAUGUUAUAAUAGACGUCUGGGACAAACUCCAUACUACCUGAUAACUGGAAAAAAGCCUGAUCUAUCCAAAAUGAGAGUGUUUGGGUUAGAGUGUUAUGCGUACAAGUAUGACAAGAAAAAGUUGGAUGCUGUCACGGUGUCUGUUCUGUGUCUCCCUGGGUGGCCACUAGAGGUCUCACUUCCCCUUAUUGUCACCUUCGUCAGAACUACAUUUCCCACUAGCCUUAUCUGUUCAUCACUGCUUAUUGGGUUCAGCUGUCACCACUUACCUGGUUUGCACCUGUCUUUAAAUACCCUGGUUGUUUCUGUCAUGAUUACGGAGUCCUUGUUUGAUGUCACCCUGCUAUUCCCUGGUCCCUUGUUGAUGUUCGUGUUUCAUGUUUUGGACUGCUUAUCUGGAUGUUGA